GCUAACGCGUGAAGUUGACCGCCUGGGGAGUACGGUCGCAAGAUUAAAACUCAAAGGAAUUGACGGGGACCCGCACAAGCGGUGGAUGAUGUGGAUUAAUUCGAUGCAACGCGAAAAACCUUACCUACCCUUGACAUGUCCGGAAUCCUGCAGAGAUGCGGGAGUNCCCGAAAGGGAAUCGGAACACAGGUGCUGCAUGGCUGUCGUCAGCUCGUGUCGUGAGAUGUUGGGUUAAGUCCCGCAACGAGCGCAACCCUUAUCAUUAGUUGCUACGCAAGGGCACUCUAAUGAGACUGCCGGUGACAAACCGGAGGAAGGUGGGGAUGACGUCAAGUCCUCAUGGCCCUUAUGGGUAGGGCUUCACACGUCAUACAAUGGUCGGUACAGAGGGUUGCCAAGCCGCGAGGUGGAGCCAAUCCCAGAAAGCCGAUCGUAGUCCGGAUUGUUCUCUGCAACUCGAGAGCAUGAAGUCGGAAUCGCUAGUAAUCGCGGAUCAGCAUGUCGCGGUGAAUACGUUCCCGGGUCUUGUACANNCCGCCCGUCACACCAUGGGAGUGGAAUCUGCCAGAAGUAGGUAGCCUAACCGCAAGGAGGGCGCUUACCACGGNNGNNUUCAUGACUGGGGUGAAGUCGUAACAAGGUAACAAGG
rnacentral:rRNA from 1 species